rnacentral:rRNA from 1 species
CCUACGGGUGGCAGCAGUGAGGAAUAUUGGUCAAUGGACGAGAGUCUGAACCAGCCAAGUAGCGUGAAGGAUGACUGCCCUAUGGGUUGUAAACUUCUUUUAUAAAGGAAUAAAACGAGGCACGUGUGCCUUUUUGCAUGUACUUUAUGAAUAAGGAUCGGCUAACUCCGUGCCAGCAGCCGUGGUAAUACGGAGGCUCCGAGCGUUAUCCGGAUUUAUUGGGUUUAAAGGGAGCGUAGAUGGGUUGUUAAGUCAGUUGUGAAAGUUUGCGGCUCAACCGUAAAAUUGCAAUUGAUACUGGCAGUCGUGAGUACAGUUGAGGUAGGCGGAAUUCGUGGGGUAGCGGUGAAAUGCUUAGAUAUCACGAAGAACCCCGAUUGCGAAGGCAGCUUACUAAACUGUGACUGACAUUGAUGCUCGAAAGUGUGGGUAUCAAACAGGAUUAGAUACCCUUGUAGUC